UUAGGAAGUCACCAUCUUCGGUGGGGACCUUUCUCAGACAAUCUAUUCUUCCACAAUUCUCCUUGAGCAACCAAGAUAUUAACGGGGAAGACUUGAAGUUUCUAUGCUGCUUGAUCCAGAAUUUUCUCACCAUGGAUGUGGGGUUCUCACCUUUGAAGGAAUGCAUUGUGGACACAAACAAGAACUGUCUGUACUCUUGCAGGAAAUGGAAACGGUACAAACCAGCAUUUGAGUGAAUGAACACUGAAAAUGCAUGCUGCAACCAACCACUGGAUCAGGGUACAAGACAAAUAAUGGUUCUAGUGGAACUUGGGGGAAAA
rnacentral:lncRNA from 1 species